rnacentral:rRNA from 1 species
GACGAACGCUGGCGGCGUGCUUAACACAUGCAAGUCGAACGAUGAAGCCUAGCUUGCUAGGUGGAUUAGUGGCGAACGGGUGAGUAAUACGUGAGUGACCUACCUUUGACUCUGGGAUAAGCCUGGGAAACUGGGUCUAAUACCGGAUACGACCAAUCUCUGCAUGGGGUGUUGGUGGAAAGCGUUAUGGAGUGGUUUUAGAUGGGCUCACGGCCUAUCAGCUUGUUGGUGAGGUAAUGGCUUACCAAGGCGACGACGGGUAGCCGGCCUGAGAGGGUGACCGGCCACACUGGGACUGAGACACGGCCCAUACUCCUACGGGAGGCAGCAGUGGGGAAUAUUGCACAAUGGGCGCAAGCCUGAUGCAGCGACGCCGCGUGAGGGAUGACG